rnacentral:rRNA from 1 species
CCUACGGGUGGCAGCAGUGGGGAAUAUUGCGCAAUGGGCGCAAGCCUGACGCAGCGACGCCGCGUGAGGGAUGAAGGUCUUCGGAUCGUAAACCUCUGUCAGCAGGGAAGAACGGUCACUGUGCUAAUCAUCAGCGAAUUGACGGUAUCUGCAAAGGAAGCACCGGCUAACUCCGUGCCAGCAGCCGCGGUAAUACGGAGGGUGCGAGAGUUAAUCGGAAUUACUGGGCGUAAAGCGCUCGUAGGCGGUAUGUCAAGUCAAGGGUGAAAUCCCCGCGCUCAACGUGGGAACUGCAUUUGAAACUGGGGAACUUGAGUGUGUGAGAGGAUAGUGGAAUUCCAGGUGUAGGAGUGAAAUCCGUAGAUAUAUGGAGGAACACCAGUGGCGAAGGCGACUAUCUGGCACAUAACUGACGCUGAGGAGCGAAAGCGUGGGUAGCAAACAGGAUUAGAUACCCGAGUAGUC